AUUUGGAAAAUUUUUAAAAUUUUUUAGUUUUAAGUUUAAAGUGAUCAUUAAUUGUUAAGUGUUUUGUGUUAAAGAAAAUAAUCGAUUGACCACAUAAAAAAUAUAUAAAAAUGUCUAGACAACUACUAAGUCAUAAAUUUCGUAAAUCACUGUUUUCGUCCGUUUUCCAUUAAAAAUCUGCGGUCUCGUUCGGAAAUCUCACAGAAAGAGUUUUAGUGCUUCUGCUACAGUUGAAUCAACAUUAGUUUAUUAUUACCAUUUUCUGGCUUGUAUAAGGAUAGAAUCUUUAUUAUUUGGAAUUCGAAAAUCAAAAUUAAGGAUGUAUGGAUAAGGUACCGAAAACCAGUGACCUUGCAACUGCAUUCUCUGGUAUCUUAAGGUAGCUGUCACUUCCCCAAGGAAUCAUCACUCGUCGCCGGGAUAUCUUCGGAAUUUAUUUUCACCGAUCAACUCUGGGUCUAUUGGAGUUGGGCUCUUCCACUAAUGCAGAUGUUUAGGGAGAUUAAGGAAGAUCUUCUCGUUUACAUUCGCAUUCUCACUUCCCCCAUUUAGCGAAUUAAUUUUGGCUUUCUACUACUUCAAAAUUGUGUGUACAAAAUUUCUGGCAUACAACUUUCCGAUUAGAGACAAAAACUUUCCCAGUACUCUAAAACUUACUUACUUACUAUAAAAGCCGGAACAGUUAUAAAAUAUCAUAGGAUGUAUGGAAACCGAUUUUGGUGUUCUGAAAAAAAUCUUCCGUCUUAUUUGGAGUUUGAAAAUUAAAAUUAAUAAAGUGCAUCUUUGGCCAAA